rnacentral:lncRNA from 1 species
GUAGUUCUUUGUUCUAGUAGUUUAGGUGGUUUUUUGGAUAACUUUCAAGUGGGGGAGACGGUUUCCUUACAUCGUCAGCAGAUCUACAUAACCUAACAAUCUCCCCUAGAUCUGUUAGAUCUGUUGAUGUUAAAAUCUCUCUAUUUAGGUCUGUCUUUUAUUCUGUUAUUUGCUGAUGCACAACAAUCUUUCCCUGAUCAUUCCUCUCAUGCCAUGUUCCAUAUUCAGUGCUUGAUCAUCAUCUUCAUCUUUUUCUAGUUCUAGAUCAACAAUGACUUUUUUGUCAUCUAGGCUAAAACUAAGAACAUCGUACCCAUCCACAUAGAUUCUAGAGCUAUCUUCUCUAAAUAUCUCUAUCUCAUUUGAGUCUUUCCUUACUUUCCAUCUCAUAAUCCUUGGGUUAGGGAGGAUUUGAGGCAGUUCUAAGAUUUCUGUGGGUUGAGGUGAAUCUGGCCUUAAAGACACUGUUACCCUUUAAUGUGCCACUAAUUGAGGUAGUAGAUCAUGUGGAUCUUCUUUUGGAGAUUCAUCCAUUGAAACUGUAUAGGUGCCAGCAGCUAUGUCUUGAGUUAUUCUAAACACGUGUAGUUUCAGGCAUUGAGUUUACAAGGAUCAUCUUUUCAUCUUCUUGUAAAUCUACUAUCCAUCUAGCAUAGCCAUGUUUUUCUUUAAGAUUGUUCAAGUAAUUAUCCAUGACUUUUGGAUUGUAGUAAAAGAUUUCAUUUGGCCUGAAUAGAACAACUGAUGUUCCUUCUUCUUUUGAGCAUAGUAGAUUUCACUAUUAUCCCAAUUUAAAGCAUGAAUAAGUUCUUACCUCAUCUUGAAGGUCCUUGUGGCAUCUUCUAGAGUUGGUUUUUUUUUCUACCAACUUCCAAUUUGGAGCAGUGGCCUUAAUGCUUAGAUCAGCCAACAUUUUCUUUACUCUUGCAACCUCAGCUGGUUAUCCUGGACAUCCCAAUUCUGGAAGACAUAGAAAUUCUUUAUUGGAUAAGCUUUCGAAAUGAUGCAAUAAAGUCUGGAGAAGGGGGAGGAUCUUCCGCUAUUUUGAGAACUGUCGGUGUUGUUGUUGUUGUGGCUCUUGAUGUUGGAGGAGAUGUUGAAGUUUCUUCUGCUUCAUCUUGUAGAAUCAACUUCCUUCUUUUUGAUGAUUGUACUAUUGGUUUCUUAGGAAGUGUUGAUUUUUGUGGAAAUGUUGGUUUUGUUACUACUGCUUUUGUGUCAAUAGUUGUGACAACUGCUAGUUCUAUGCUAGAAUGUGUCUUAGGAUUUGCAGAUCUUAUCUUGGUUGGUGGAACUGAUAUACCAGUAGUUUUGCCUAGUCCAAAUGUUUGGGUUUUUCCCCAGUU